UGUCUAAGUACAAACCGAUUAAAUGGUGAAACCGCGAAUGGCUCAUUAAAUCAGUCGUAAUCUACAGGAUAUCGAUCCCACCUCGUUGGAUAACUGUGGUAAUUCUAGAGCUAAUACAUGCACCGAAGCUCCGGUCCUCGCUUCGGCGAGGGAAGGGCGCAUUUAUUAGACCCAAAAACCGAUCCAAAGCUCGCCUCGUGCGGGCGGUACUGGGGACUCCGAAUAACUUCGCCGAGCGCUUCGGUCUCACGACCGGCGCCGUAUCCUUCGAGCGUCUGCCUUAUCAGCUCUAUCGUAAGGUAUUGGCUUACGACGGCUGUAACGGGUAACGGGGAAUCAGGGUUCGAUUCCGGAGAGGGAGCCUGAGAAACGGCUACCACAUCUAAGGAAGGCAGCAGGCGCGCAAAUUACCCAAUCCCGGCACGGGGAGGUAGUGACGAAAAAUACCGGUGCGGGUCUCCGACGAGGCCUCGCCAUCGGAUUGAGUUUAAACUAAAACCUUGGACGAGCGUCCAUUGGAGGGCAAGUCUGGUGCCAGCMGCCGCGGUAAUUCCAGCUCCGAUAGCGUAUAUUAAAGUUGCUGCGGUUAAAAAGCUCGUAGCUGGACUUCGCGUCSGGACUGACGGCCCGCCGAGGGUGGGACCGUCGGCGUCGAGUCGUCGUSGUGCACGGCGCUCGAUCGUCGCGGUCUUCUCCCCCCGCGCGGACAACCUASUCAAACCCGGUUCGCCGAAAUCCGCCGGUUCGCGAGGGUUGCCUACGGUGACCCUAGCGUCCGGCAUUUUCACUUUGAAUAAAUAARAGUGCUCAAAGCGGGCGCAAAAGUUUAACGCCAAAACGAAAGUGCAUUGAACGAAGAAAUAAGACCUCGACCCCGCCGUUGUUUCGAUCGGUUUCAGGGGGCCGAGGUAACGAUUAAGAKAAGCGGCCGGAGGCAUACGUAUUGCGACGCUAGAGGUGAAAUUCGUUGACCGUCGCAAGACSAACCGAGGCGAAGGCGUUUGUCAAGAACGUUUUCAUUAGUCAAGAACGAAAGUCAGAGGAUCGAAGGCGAUCAGAUACCGCCCUAGUUCUGACCGUAAACUUUGCUACCUGACGAUCCGUCGACGUCGUACCCUASACUCGGCGGGAAGUCUCCGGGAAACCUAAUGUUUCSAGCUCCGGGGGAAGUAUGGUUGCAAAAGUGAAACUUAAAGGAAUUGACGGAAGGGCACC
rnacentral:rRNA from 1 species